AUAGUUACCUGGCAGGGGAGAUACCAUAAUCACAAAGGUGGUUUCCCCAGGCGAGGCUUAUCCAUUGCACUCCAGAUGUGCUGACCCCUGCGAUUUCCCCAAAUGUGGGAAACUCAAUCGCAUAAUAUGUGGUAGUGGGGGACUGGGUUUGCGCUCUCCCCUA
rnacentral:snRNA from 1 species